rnacentral:lncRNA from 1 species
CCCACCUCGCCCAGAUCUCCCCUGCCCACCUCGCCCAGCUUCUCCUCCACCCACGAUCUCCUCCUAACCGCCUAGCUUCCUGCUCGUCCAGGCACCUCGCCGCCCAGCUUCCUGCUGGCCGCCGUUCCCAGGAGGACACCUCGCCGGCCGCCGGCCGACCGUUCCCAGGAGGACACCUCGCCGGCCGCUGUUCCCAGGAGGGCACCUCGCCGGCCGUCGGCCGCCGUUCCCAGGAGCACCUUGCCGGCAAGAUCAAGCUUGCCCAGUACCGCCUCCCUUCCUUCCCCGCGUC